GUCUCUGAUGAUUGCUGGUUGGUUUGCAUAUUAUUUGCAAAAGAUUCUUCAGAUAUAAUUGGUGAGCUAAGUGCAAUCAGGAGCACAAUCACCGACAUUAUACCGGGGGCCCAACAUGUAAUGCUAACUCUGGGUCUAUAAAGGGAUGUAAAUGUUUGUGUUUGUAUGUUUGAUUCUUUGGCUCUUGCAUUUCAUAAAUAUUUGAUAGCUACAAGAAAGAGCCUAAAAUUGUGCGUUCCACCAGCAUCAAUCCUAAGAUUGUUGGGGGCCGGUUAUUUCUGAACGCCUCUUCUGGCGCAUAUAUCUACUUUGAUUCUGAGACACCUGCACGAAAAGAAGAGUUUGACAAAUUGACAGGCGAUGGUACAUACCAGACAACGUCUUCAUCAAAGCUGGUUCAUGCCCAAAAGGUUGAACCUCUAACUGUUGCUGAGCUUAACCAAUAUGUUAUUAUUGCUGAUCCUCAGGUAAUUGAGUAUGGCUAAAGUGACCGGAAUUCAGCAAGAUUAGGGUUGGUGUUAUAUUGGCUGCUCCGGAUGUUCAAAGAAACUUUUACGAGAGAUAUCUUCCUUCCACUACAAGAAAACACAGUUUUAGCAAGGAAAUUUAACGAGGAAAACUAAUCCUCGUGAAAUUACGUUGACUUAACGAUGAAAUUGCGAGGAAAUAAAGUUUCCUCGUAACAGCCUUGUAAAAUACCGAGUAAAGCGAUUCCUCGUAAAAUCGUCGUAAGUUGACGUGGUUAUUUCGAGAAAAAUAUGUUUCGUCGCAAAUUCGUCGUAAGAUUAGCAUGAUUUUUACGAGGAAAUAACUUACGAGGAAAGAACGAGAAAUCCACCAACUUAACACGUUUUUUUUGCAACCAACCUAAUAUUUCGUCGUAAAUUCCUAGCAAAAUUCAACUACCAGAUUCGAAAAUUUUCUAUAAAUAUGGAGGUUUGAACAUAAUUUUAAGCACA